rnacentral:rRNA from 1 species
GACGGAAGGUGCAAGCGUUGCUCGGAAUUACUGGGCGUAAAGGGUGCGUAGGCGGCGCGGAAAGUUGGGUGUGAAAUCCCUCGGCUUAACCGAGGAAUGGCGCUCAAAACUACCGUGCUUGAGGAAGACAGAGGUGAGCGGAACUUAGGGUGGGGCGGUGAAAUGCGUUGAUAUCCUAAGGAACACCGGUGGCGAAAGCGGCUCACUGGGUCUUUUCUGACGCUGAGGCACGAAAGCCAGGGUAGCGAACGGG